rnacentral:rRNA from 1 species
AGCAGCCGCGGUAAUUCCAGCUCCAAUAGCGUAUAUUAAAGUUGCUGCAGUUAAAAAGCUCGUAGUUGAAUUUCGGGACUAAUAUGUCGGUCGUGCCUCGGUACGUACUGGUAUUUUUGGUUUCUCCCUUCUGACGAACCUUGAUGUCAUUAAUUUGGUGUCUUGGGAAAUCAGGACUGUUACUUUGAAAAAAUUAGAGUGUUUAAAGCAGGCUCACGCUUGAAUACAUUAGCAUGGAAUAAUGAAAUAGGACGUUUGAUUCUAUUUUGUUGGUUUCUAGGAUCGACGUAAUGAUUAAUAGGGAUAGUUGGGGGCAUUAGUAUUCAAUUGUCAGAGGUGAAAUUCUUGGAUUUAUUGAAGACUAACUACUGCGAAAGCAUUUGCCAAGGAUGUUUUCAUUAAUCAAGAACGAAAGUUAGGGGAUCGAAGACGAUCAGAUACCGUCGUAGUCUUAACCAUAAACUAUGCCGACUAGGGAUCGGAUGA